rnacentral:lncRNA from 1 species
GAAAUUCCAAUGUUCAUUUAAAUAUGUCACAAAAGACAUAAUAUAAUAAAUAAGCAUUAAAGACAGAACAUGUGACUAUUACUGUGAAUUCAGAUUUUAACCUGGGCAAAACACAGUGUUUAAAGUUGCAGUGUCACUCUACAACAAUAAUUCCCCACUCACAAAAGAUACUUCAAGAAUGAAACUUACGGAACCCUAAAUAUUGUGAUAUUCUUCUUUAUUUCCUCAUUUCAUAUAAAUUCACAAUGAGGAAAGAGCAGAAGUUUCUAGAAAUAAUAUAAUUAAAUUUUUCUUUUAAGGCAAGUACAUAUAAUUUUUAGUUUUAUGGCUUUUAUUCACAUCAAAUAGGUGCUUGCUGACUUGACAGAUAAUUAUAACAGCAGUGUAUUCACAACACAUGAUUUUAUGAAUAAGGAUUAAAGAUGAGAAUAGAAUUAAUCACAAGGAUGCCUUUCUAUUGAGCCACCAAAAUGAUGUCCUAGGGCAAAUGAAAUCCUGGAAAAUGGAUUGAUUACAGGGCCUAGCCCAGACAUCAAGUUAGCAAGUGGGAGAUUUUUGUUUCAUUAUGUUUUGUUUUGUUUUUCUCUCAGCUUCAAGACUGAAAGUUUGUUGGGGUAUGGAGCCAGCCAGGUUAUUUUGUUACCCAUUUGUUUUUACAACUGUUUUAUCAUUGGAUUUCCAUGCAUGUACACGUGCACACACACAUGUGUGCAUGUGUGUAGUUGUGUUAUUUAAGGUUUUCUCUUUUUUUGAGGCAUAAUCUCACUCUGUCUCCCAGGCUGGAGUGCAAUGGUGCGAUCUUGGCUCACUGCAACUGCCACCAUCUGAGUUCAAACAAUUCUCCUGCUCACCCCUUCAAGUAGCUGAGAUUACAGGCACCCACCACCAAGACCAGCUAAUUUUUGAAUUUUUAGUAGAGAUGGGGUUUGGCCAGGCUGGUCUCAAACUCCUGACCUCAGGUGAUCCACCCACCUCUGCCUCCCAAAGUGCUGGGAUUAUAGGUGGGAGCCACUGCGCCCGGCCUUAAGGUCCUUUUUGUUUUGUUAUUAAGAUUUAAACCUGCAGCUUGAAGAUUAUUUUUCCUAGGUCUACUUUCUCAGUCAUCUGUUAACAAAACAACAUCUAGGAAUACCAACUUCUUAACACAUACAUAGCUAUUUUUGUUAGUAUUUUUUGCAAAUUCCAAUGCAUUGUUUGCUUUGUCCUUCUUAUCCUUAUUCUUUGAAGUUCGUGUAAAUAUCUGUAUGUCUUUUCAUUUGUCCAUGUUUAUGAAUAUUUUCUUUUGUAAGUCUCUUUUAAAAAUCCAUGCUCAUCUAAAAACCCCUCUUUUGUUUCUCAUCGGCUACGUUGUCAAGAUUAAUUUUUAAAAAAUCUUUCAUACCCCUUUAGUCAUAGAAAAAAACUUUCACUUUUGGCUUAAUCCCAUCCAAUACAAAAAUAAUUGAUGAGCAACAGGGAAGCUAUAAGAUUUUUAGUGUUUGAAUGAAGCUUUGACAUUAGUUGAAUCUGUAGAUUUUACACAUGAGAAGACAAAAGUUUAGAGAGGUUAAGUGCCUGGCAUAAAAUCACAUAGGUAGCCUGUGGAUUUUUAUGCUCAGCUAUUUUGAUUCAACAGUUAGUGUUAUUUCUGACCAAAACAAUGUUAUGUUUGUAUCUCUAUCAGGAUUAGAAGGAAAUAUUAGAGAUAGUCAGAAUUUAGAAAAUCAUAUUUUACAAACUUAAGAAAACAUAUAUAAAUAGAAAGAUUGCUUGUCUGCAAAUAAGAUAAAAGCAAGUAUGUUUUACCACCAGGUUGUCAUAGAAGGCUAAAAAUAUUUUAUAAAAUGGAGGAUGUGGUUGAGUGUUACCAGAUUGGAAAAAGAAGAAAAAUAACAUGUUUUGGAAAGUCAAUUGAAAACAAUUUUGAAGAUCUAUUACAUAAUUGAUUCCAUAAAACCUGGGUGCCAUCCUAUGUAGACAAGGUUUGACAUAAUUUUCCAGACUGGGAUUGUGUCUUUAAAGCACUUAAGCUGAACUAGACAAUUUCAUACACUUAUGUUGUUGAUAAAAUGAAAUUCCCAUUUGCUUCUCAUUACCUCUGACAUGAGCAUAUGCAGUUACAGGAUGUCUAUUGUAAUUAUGAUUAGAGCUUAAAAAACAAACAAGAAAAAUUACCAUACUAGCUAGAAAAUGCUGGGAAACCACAUGCCACAAACUUUGAGAUGUUUAUGAUUAAAAAAAAAAAUCACAUUGUAAGCUCCAUGCAAAAACCUGUGUUUGAAACAAAAGUCUAAAAUGUAAGAUCUAGACCCCUCUUGAGAAGUCCACUUAAGCAGGUCAUAAAGUGGUUUUAGAACAUACAUGUAUUUCAAUAUGAUAUUUAAGAAUCUCAUCAGAGCUCAAAGGCUACUCAAAAUGGUGAAGCCAGGAGAAAUUUGCCCCAAGCUUAGUGUUCACUUGAGUAGCUACACAAGAAUGAAUUGGAGCACAGCUGUAUGUCAUUUUGAAUUAGGACAACUGAGAAAGGCAAAUGACUAUCAUUGUUUCACUAUUAUAAUUGGUAGAUGCUAUUGACACAAUGAUAGAGGCAUGAGGCUGAGAAAUUCUAGGCAGAAAAGGGUAGAUCCCCAGCGAAACUCCACCCCCAAACCUAAAAGCCUGAAACCGUGGCCCAAAGUGAGAACUUCUAUUCCGGUUUUCCUGCUUGAAUGUUGCCUUUUUCUAAACACCUAUGCCCACUCCACCCCAUCCUGCGCCUAUAAAGACCCCAGACUCAGCCAUCAGAGAGAAGAAGCAGCUGGACAACAGGUCGACUACAGCUGGACGAUGGAGAGAAGCAGGUUGACUUCAGAGGGACAGUUUAACGGCAUAACUUCGGAGAAGAAUCCAGCCAGAAACAGCCGAACUUCAGGGUAAGAUUAUCUACCCCCAUAUCCCCUUUUCAGCUCUCUUUCCCUCUGAGAGCCACUUUAAUCAGCAAUAAAAUCCCUCACACUUACCAUCCUUCAAUUUGUUCGUGCAAAUUCAUUUUGCCUGAAUGUUGGACAGGAGAUCGGGAGCCAUGAGUGAGG